AGUGAACGCUGGCGGUAGGCCUAACACAUGCAAGUCGAACGGCAGCACAGUAAGAGCUUGCUCUUACGGGUGGCGAGUGGCGGACGGGUGAGGAAUACAUCGGAAUCUACUUGUUCGUGGGGGAUAACGUAGGGAAACUUACGCUAAUACCGCAUACGACCUACGGGUGAAAGCAGGGGAUCGUCGGACCUUGCGCGAUUGAAUGAGCCUAUGUCGGAUUAGCUAGUUGGCUGGGUAAAGGCCCACCAAGGCGACGAUCCGUAGCUGGUCUGAGAGGAUGAACAGCCACACUGGAACUGAGACACGGUCCAGACUCCUACGGGAGGAAGCAGUGGGGAAUAUUGGACAAUGGGCGCAAGCCUGAUCCAGCAAUACCGCGUGGGUGAAGAAGGCCUUCGGGUUGUAAAGCCCUUUUGUUGGGAAAGAAAAGCAGCAGGUUAAUACCCCGCUGUUCUGACGGUACCCAAAGAAUAAGCACCGGCUAACUUCGUG
rnacentral:rRNA from 1 species